rnacentral:tRNA from 1 species
GGCCCUUUAGCUCUGCUGGUUAGAGUGCGCGACUCAUAAUCGCUCGGUCGCUGGUUCGAACCCAGUAAGGGCCA